rnacentral:rRNA from 1 species
GUCGAGAAUCUUUCACAAUGGGGGCAACCCUGAUGGAGUGACGCCGCGUGGAGGAUAAGGUCUUCGGAUUGUAAACUCCUGUCAUGCGUGAACAAGGUUGCUUGGUUAAUACCUGGGCAAAUUGAUGGUAACGCAAGAGGAAGAGACGGCUAACUCUGUGCCAGCAGCCGCGGUAAUACAGAGGUCUCAAGCGUUGUUCGGAAUCACUGGGCGUAAAGGGUGCGUAGGUGGCGUGGUAAGUCAGAUGUGAAAGCUCGGGGCUCAACCUCGGAACUGCAUCCGAUACUGCCAUGCUAGAGUACUGGAGAGGUGACUAGAAUUCUCGGUGUAGCAGUGAAAUGCGUAGAUAUCGAGAGGAAUACCAAAGGCGUAGGCAGGUCACUGGACAGUUACUGACACUGAGGCACGAAGGCCAGGGGAGCGAACGGGAUUAGAAACCCCGGUAGUCC